AAUUUAAAUAGUUUAUUUAAAAUAUUAAUUUGUGGUAUUAAAGAAUUAUUUAAAAUAAUUUAAAUUUC
rnacentral:tRNA from 1 species